rnacentral:rRNA from 1 species
UACGGAGGGUGCAAGCGUUGUUCGGAAUUACUGGGCGUAAAGCGCGCGCAGGCGGUCUUCCAAGUCAGUGGUGAAAGCCCGGAGCUCAACUCCGGAACUGCCAUUGAAACUGUUAGACUUGAGGACGAGAGAGGUGAGUGGAAUUCCCAGUGUAGAGGUGAAAUUCGUAGAUAUUGGGAAGAACACCGGUGGCGAAGGCGGCUCACUGGACUGGUAUUGACGCUGAGGUGCGAAAGCAUGGGGAGCAAACAGG